GUUCUGCAGUGAUGAUUUAAGAAUCAAAUUCACAUGUCAGACUUCAGAGAUUUUUCAAAUCCAUGAGAAUGACAAUUCUGUUACUGAGCAGAAU
rfam:Cajanus cajan Scaffold000051_18, whole genome shotgun sequence.